rnacentral:rRNA from 1 species
GGCACAUGACAAGUCCAGCGCCCCGCAAGGGGAGCGGCAGACGGGUGAGUAACGCGUGGGAACGUACCAUUUGCUACGGAAUAACUCAGGGAAACUUGUGCUAAUACCGUAUGAGCCCGAAAGGGGAAAGAUUUAUCGGCAAAUGAUCGGCCCGCGUUGGAUUAGCUAGUUGGUGGGGUAAAGGCCUACCAAGGCGACGAUCCAUAGCUGGUCUGAGAGGAUGAUCAGCCACACUGGGACUGAGACACGGCCCAGACUCCUACGGGAGGCAGCAGUGGGGAAUAUUGGACAAUGGGCGCAAGCCUGAUCCAGCCAUGCCGCGUGAGUGAUGAAGGCCCUAGGGUUGUAAAGCUCUUUCACCGGUGAAGAUAAUGACGGUAACCGGAGAAGAAGCCCCGGCUAACUUCGUGCCAGCAGCCGCGGUAAUACGAAGGGGGCUAGCGUUGUUCGGAUUUACUGGGCGUAAAGCGCACGUAGGCGGGCUAAUAAGUCAGGGGUGAAAUCCCGGGGCUCAACCCCGGAACUGCCUUUGAUACUGUUAGUCUUGAGUAUGGAAGAGGUGAGUGAAUUCCGAGUGUAGAGGUGAAAUUCGUAGAUAUUCGGAGGACACCAGUGCGAGGCGGCUCACUGGUCCAUUACUGACGCUGAGGUGCGAAGCGUGGGGGAGCAAACA